rnacentral:rRNA from 1 species
GGCGAAGGGGGCUAGCGUUGUUCGGAAUUACUGGGCGUAAAGCGUGUGUAGGUGGUUGUCAUAGUCAGGCGUGAAAGCCUUGAGCUCAACUCAAGAAAUGCGCUUGAUACUGGGCAGCUAGAGGACCGGAGAGGAUAGUGGAAUUCCCAGUGUAGUGGUGAAAUACGUAGAGAUUGGGAAGAACACCAGUGGCGAAGGCGGCUAUCUGGACGGUUUCUGACACUAAGACACGAAAGCGUGGGGAGCAAACAGG